ensembl:snRNA U2 U2 spliceosomal RNA
UUGACUUCUUGGCCUUUUGGCUGCAAUCAAGUGUAUUAUUUGUUCUUAUCAAUUUAGUGUGGGAUAUGUCCUCUGGCCAAGGACAAAAAAAUUAAAUGGCUUUUGGAGCAGAAAGAUGGAAUGCAGCAUAUCCACUCCACUCAUCAGUCUGGCAGUGUCAUUUCUCCUGAAAUGGUACACGCCCU